CAAUAGCGUAUAUUUAAGUUGUUGCAGUUAAAAAGCUCGUAGUUGGAUUUCGGAUGGGACUUGCCGGUCCGUCGUUUCGAUGUGCACUGGCCAGUCCUAUCUUGUUGUCGGGGACUAGCUCCUGGGCUUCACUGUCCGGGACUAGGAGCUGACGAGGUUACUUUGAGUAAAUUAGAGUGUUCAAAGCGAGCCUACGCUCUGAAUACAUUAGCAUGGAAUAACACGAUAGGACUCUGGCUUAUCUUGUUGGUCUGUGAGACCAGAGUAAUGAUUAAGAGGGACAGUCGGGGGCAUUCGUAUUUCAUUGUCAGAGGUGAAAUUCUUGGAUUUAUGAAAGACGAACUUCUGCGAAAGCAUUUGUCAAGGAUGUUUUCAUUA
rnacentral:rRNA from 1 species